CAUAGGUAGCAUUGAGAUGAUUCUGAUGGACGAACAUAUGUAAUUGGAAGAGUUGUAGAUGUUGGAGAUACUUUGUGUUUUAAAUGGCAUGAAAAAAAAUUAAAGAGACUGAGUUUGGUGUUGCAAGACAAGAGUGGAAAGAAGAUUGAAUGUAUUUUACAUAAUCAUUAUGUGGAUAUAUUUAUGCGGGC